GUGCCAGCAGCCGCGGUAAUACAGAGGUCUCAAGCGUUGUUCGGAUUCAUUGGGCGUAAAGGGUGCGUAGGCUGUGGGGUAAGUCUGGUGUGAAAUCCCGGAGCUCAACUCCGGAACUGCACUGGAUACUGCCUUACUAGAGCACUGGAGAGGGAACUGGAAUUUACGGUGUAGCAGUGAAAUGCGUAGAUAUCGUAAGGAAGACCAGUGGCGAAGGCGAGUUCCUGGACAGUUGCUGACGCUGAGGCACGAAGGCCAGGGGAGCAAACGGGAUUAGAUACCCCGGUAGUCCUGGCAGUAAACGGUGCGCGUUUGGUGUAGGAGGAUUCGACCCCUUCUGUGCCGGAGCUAACGCGUUAAACGCGCCGCCUGGGGAGUACGGUCGCAAGAUUAAA
rnacentral:rRNA from 1 species